UACGCACAUCGCCAUGUUAGUAUAGGCGGCUUCUAAGCGUUGGCGCGCAUUCUGCAUAACUUAUGGGUUUCGCGGCGAGAUGGACGUAGAUGUCUUCCGGCUAUGGCCGUUGUUUGAGGCAUGGAAAAGAAAUUCUGCCGUUUUUGUAAAUCUCUUGCUAACCUCGCUGAGCACGCGUUCCUCCACGCAGUAGUUUCUGAAAUAUCUCCUAAUUAAAGAUUGGUGGUACUUUAUCUAAAAUAUCUGCAGUUCUGUAUGAGGUGUGACAUGAUAACUAUUCAUGACAUGUUGGUAAUUGUUGAUCUUCGUCGUCACUGUUCAAUCAGUUAUUUUUAUUUUAUAUCAAAUUGGAAUUAUUUUCGCAGUAUUAAAUUUUAAAUUCAGUUGUCUCAUGGUCAGCAACUAUUUAAACGUAAGAAAGUCUGCAUGCUCAUCUUGAAUUAACUACAAUUACAGCUUACAAUCUCACUGCAUUUGUGUUAACUUAAAUAUUAAAUUUUAAAGUACUACAUGUAUUAUAUGUCUAUGUUUUGAUUUACGUGAAAAAAGUCUCAUAAACGGCAAAUAAUCAUAAAUUAAAAUUAAUGAUAUCAAUGUUAAAUUUACAAGACCUUAGCAAAAAGCUGAUCUUACACUAUAAGACUAAACAUUAAUUGAUAAAUUGAUUAAAAAUUGUUUAAAGAGAUUACAUCAAUUUUGAAUCUACGAGACCUCUCUGUAGUAAAACUAGUCUUACGCUGUAAAACUAAACAUAAAUUUUUGUUUAAAUAAAAUUAAAUCAAUUUCGAAUCUACGAGACCUCUCUGUAGCAAAAAACUAGUAUAAGACUAUAGGACUAAACAUAAAUUUUCGUUUAAACGAGAUUAAAUCAAUUUCGAAUCUACGAGACCUCUCUGUAGCCAAAAACUAGUUUUAACCUGCUAGGAUAAAUUUAAACUACUUCUAUUUCACAUAAAUCAGUUUUGAAUCUACGAGACCUCUCUGUAGCAAUAAUAAUUCUAUAUGACUAUUAUUUGCACAUUGAUUUUAUUGUUAAAUUUUAAAGUAUAGCUCACAGAAAAUUUCAAAUGAAUCAUUACAUUAAUUUUGUAUUGAAACAUAAACUUUAGCUCACAAGCAGAUUCCAAAAGAGUCAUUACAUAUAAAAUGCAAUUAAAAUUAUAAACUUAAAAAUUAGCUCACAUUAGAUUCCAUUGAAUCCUUAAACUAACAUGUCCUAGCUUCAUCUAUGGAGCUAACUCUUUGAUAAGUGCAUCAUCAGCCAUAUUAACUUGUCCAUCUUAACUUCUUAUUUUUACCUUCUUUUUUACCUUCUACUGUCUUUAAAUCUUUUUUAACUUUUUUAAAUUAUUUAAAAAAUGUUCUUAUUAACUAAUAAAAUGUUGUGAAUCUCAGGUUAUGCCCAACAUUAAAAACAGUUUAAAACUGAAUAUCUAGCUACAUUCUUAAAAUGCUGUAAAUCUCAGGUUAUGCCUAAAUUUAAAAAAAGUUUAAAAAUAAAAUGGCGAGUAUCUCAGGUUAUGCCCUACAUAAAAAAAGUUAAAAAUUUAAUUUCCAGGUAUAUUCUUAAUGUUAUUAAUCUCAGGUGAUAUCCAACAUAAAAAACAUUUCAAAAUUGAAUUUCCAGCUGCAUUUUUAAAAUGCUGUGAAUCUCAGGUUAUGCCCAAAAUAAAAAAGAACAGUUCAAACAUAAAAUGAUAAGCAUCUCAGGUUAGCCCAAUUAAUAAAAAUCUUUAAUAAACUAAUAAAAUGUUGUGAAUCUCAGGUUAUGCCCAACAUAAAAAACAGUUCAAACAUAAAAUGAUGACCAUCUCAGGUUAGCCCAAUUAAUAAAAAUCUUUAAUAAACUAAUAAAAUGUUGUGAAUCUCAGGUUAUGCCCAACAUAAAAAACAGUUUGAAAUUGAAUUUGCAGCUACAUUCUUAAAAUGCUGCUAAUCUCAGGUUAUGCCCAAAUUUAAAAAAGUUUAAAAAUAAAAUGGCGAGCAUCUCAGUUUAGCCCAAUUAAAAAAAAUUUUCUUAUAAACAGAUAAAUGCUAUGAAUCUCAGGUUUAUGCCUAAAAAUGAAAAACAGUUUUAAAUUAAAUUUCCACCUACACUCUUAUGGCCGUACGUCUUUGAUUGUCCAAACAUUUUAAAAAAUUUCCAAAAUAAAAUGAGAAGCAUCUCAGUUUAGCCUAAUUAAAAAAAAUUAUUUAAUAAACUAAUAAAAUGCUAUGAGUCUCAGGUUAUGCCCAAUAGUAAAAAACAGUUUUAAAUUAAAUUUCCACCUACACUCUUAUGGCCGUACGUCUUUGAUUGUCCUAAAAUUUAAAAAAAUUUCCAAUAUAAAAUGAGAAGCAUCUCAGUUUAGCCUAAUUAAAACAAAUUAUUCAAUAAACUAAUAAAAUGCUAUGAGUCUCAGGUUAUGCCCAAUAGUAAAAAAUAGUGUGGAGGUAUUAUGAGUAGUGUUGAUUGAAAUUUAAAUAAUUUACUAACGAAAAAAAUUGUCUUUUAAAAUUUCAAUAAAUACUCUCUAAGACUAAUCUAUUAAAUAAUAUCGUUAGUUUAAAUGUAAAAUUUAGCUCACAAGUAGAUUCCAAAAGAGUCAUUGCUUAAACAAAUAAAUAAUGAUAAAAUAUUAUUCUACUUUCUUUUCUUCGUUAUUGUAUUUUUAUAUGAGUACACCACGUUUUACUGUUGUUAGAUAAUAUACAUACAUAUAUGCUGUAAAUUUUGAACAAGAAAACUACUAAUUUAAGUUAGCCUUUCUCGUGUUUACUUGUUCAAAAUAUGGUAGCCAUUGUAUAAUUUAAUAAAAUUGAUUAUUUUAAAUAAUAGUGUGUCAUUAAAAAAAUAAAAAUUCUAUUUGUUUCUCCGAGUACGUAAACCUAUAUGUAUUUCUUUCAUUGCAUAUAUAUACAUUCGCACACCAACCCUCUAGUUGAAAGAUACUUUUAAAUUAUACUCCAAUUGUAUUCAAAUAUUACAUUAAAAGUAUAUAUAAAUGAUAUUUCUUCCAAACUACCAUGGAGGUUAAUGUCAUUGGAACUAUUUUGAAUGUAGAAAUUUUCAAGAUUUCGACUUUUACU